AGAAUCAUUCACUUGGUAAAAUUUGCAUACAUCUAUUUAAUAAUCCAAGAAAAACAGCUUCCUAAUUACUACUAAGAAGGGUUGCCUAGAUAAAAGGAUGAGAUUUUGAAGAGUAAAGACCAAUAAAGAAGAAAAUGUUAUAUAUUUUCAUCCUCGUGGAUAAUAAUUUAUUAAAUGAUAAGGAGAAAAGGAGGUUUGGCCUCAUUACUUCUAUUCUCCAACUCUUCACUGAUUUUCUGUACUGAAGGUAGUGAAAUCAAGAAGGUCUUUGUAAUACUUAUGGAAAAAAAAUAAAAAGAAAUGAACAAGACAGGGAUUGUACAAAAGGGCAUAAGUCCAAGAAUAUUUAGGUGCACGAGGAACCUUGCUAUUAUACCAGUGCUUUGGAGAGCACGCACAGAUCAUAUUUUCCUAAUUCAUCAUUUUGCACGGGAGGCAAGUGAAAGCCAGUAAAGUGAAGAAACUGAAGAAAAUCACACAGAGAUAAUGACAGGACUGGAACUCAAGCCCUGUGCUCUUUGAAAUGCUCCCCAGAGAUGAAGGUAAUUUAUUUGGAAGAUCACAGCUUAGCCUCAGAAUGCCAUCCCAAGCCGACUUCAGUGGAUAUAUACAUAUAUGUCAGUAUCUGAAGAGUAGAGUUAAUCCAGAGGUAGCCUAACUUUUUUUUUGGAAAUACUUCCCUGAAAUGACAUCAUUAACGUUCUCACACCAAAAACAGUAGCAUAUUGGAAAUCUGGUGUCCUGAUGCAUCCCAAUCAAAGGAGAAAAAUGUGAUGCAGCAAUGGAAUACCGUGAGCAGUAGAGCUGUGCUUACCUUCAUAAGUCCCACUUUCUAGGAGAGCACCGCUUUUCUCCAAUUCCAUAAAAUCUUCAACGGUGAUGAAAAUGUAGUCCACUCCGGGGACCUCACCCUCCUUAUGUGGCCUUGUGGUGCCUGAAUAAGGAAAAUUGAAAAACAAAAGAAAGACUCUAAGUGAUUUGUUCUGAACUUUAGAAAUACCACCGUACUUCUGAAUACUCAAUAAUACUUGUUUAUACAUCCUGCGAGCUGGCAGUUUGCAUUUGUCCUUCUGUUUGUUUGGAAACAGAAAAUAGCAAGGAGUAAAGAUGAAAUUCUGAUUGGACUGGGAGGUGACAUGCUCCAAGGAGCCACUUCAUGGGUCCACCACUCCUGUUCCCUAUAGAAUGAAUGAAGUCUCUACAGCCAAGGUGACAGAAACAUCCACCCAGGGCUCAGUGCAGCUGGACGGGAGAACUCAAGCUUCCAGACCUGCUGUCCAGUUCAUGAGGCAGGAACGGAAACAGAGACAAAGCAAAGGCUGCAUAGGACCUUCAACAACAAGAGUCAGAAAGCAUGAUGUCAGAUCUACACGUCCAGGAAGAAAGGAUAUUAGUUGUUAAAUCAAUCGGCCCCCAGAAGGAGAAAGCAAUUGGCUAAAGGAAAAGAAAGCAAUUGGUGAUCUAUGAACACCUCUUUGGAAAGAAGUAAGAUUCCAAUAAUAAAGCAAAUAACGUGAAAUGUGAUGAAAUAUUGUACGAUGGGAAUCUGAACCUAAGGUAAUUAAUAUCUAGACUGGAGGAAUAGUUAAGCCGAAUUUCCUGAAGCAGUUAGUUACCUCAUUUUUGUGCUGAAAUAAUUAUACUUUCCCAACUCAAAGGAUUAUGAAUCGAGAGGUGACAGUGAAGCAACACUCACCAGUAACAAGUAGUUAUCCCCCAGCAUUAGGAAUAGGGCCCAAGCAAGGCAGGAUAAAAGAGGAAGUACAGGUGAUUCAUCAUAGAGCUAAAAGGUGAAGCUCAUCUUUUAAUUCUCUUCUAUAUUUGGUUAGGACUUUCCUUAGUAGUGUUUAGAUAAGUCCAAAGUCAAUUUUAUUACCCAGAGUAUGGUUUAUAGAUUUCAUUCUCUGUCUCCUGGACCACUCCUCCAAAAGCAAAAUAAACAGGAAGGGAAUGAAGGAAAUGCUACCAAAUCAAGUCUUUGCUUUAUCUCCUCCUACUGCCUCAUUUCUUAAAAAACUUACUUAGUAAUUACUAAAUUAAGUACUGUAUGAAUAACACCCCCUUCGUGUUAAUAAAAGCAUAUUGCAUUUCGGCUCAAAAGACAUGUCUGAAGAGAAUGAAUGCUCCCAAAUGGUUAGCUUACUAUUGCUACACAGUGAAGCACGUCAAGGCCACUGGUCAUUUUGUCACCAUCGCAAGUGGGGGAGCCAAAUGAAUUUUUUUUAAUUCAUAUUCUACUUUUUAAAUGAAGGAACAUUGUUCCUUUUGUCUUAGGAAGGAAAGAGCAAGAUGUUUGUGGUACAUAUAACUCUGAAGCACAUUUUGCCUCAGCCUUCUGACAUAUUCUAAUUCUAGUAAAGUGCUUUAAAAAGCAGAUAUUGGAUUACAGAAAAGUUUUACUACCUAGGUGGUGGUCAGUGCAGUCAUUUAUUGUAAUCUAUUUUGGCAUGCUAAAAGUUCUACAGUGUCCAUUGCACUGUAGGCACCCAGUACACACUUGCUAAAGAAAUGGACUCGGAAUCAAUCAUUAACAGUCAAUGUGUUCUAAGAAGAUGGGUCACUGUGUGAGAAUCUGAGAAAAUGAAUUAUUUUCUUAAGCAUGUUUCUGAAUACAUUCUCUCUUUAUUCCUGGCGUUUCUCAACUGCAAGCUGAAGAAAAUAUAUCUUGACAGCUACAGUGACUUCCUCUGGAUUCGACCUUUAAUUAACUUACUUUUAGGUUUCUGAAGACACUUCUUUAGUUUGUCAGUUACUCAUUAGCAAGUGUGAACACUAUCACCAGAUUUGUAUGUGUGUUUCCAA